rnacentral:rRNA from 1 species
CCGGGAUGUUCAUAACCCUUUGUUGUCCGACU